GGGAUUAAAAUUAUUCGAUAUGGAAGUGAAAAUGUCAGUGUUUGCCUUAGAAAUAAACAGGAGUCCUUCCUUCACAAAGUCAGGAAGAAGGUUACGAUGGAUAGAAGGAGGUUUGACACCUGCCCAGUUGGGUGACAGGACAGCGAAUUGUGAAUUGAAAAGCAAAUCGAAAAGUCGCAAAUGUCGAAUGCGGAUGGCGAAUGUUGAAUGCUGAAUGCGAAUACUCGUUGAAUAUGCAAACUCGUGUGAGUGCACAUAUGAUUAAAGAGUCAUAAGUGAGGGGGAAGUGAAGGUGAAUGGUGAAUGGUGAAUAGCGAAUGGCGAAUGUCUUUGGUAUUCCCCAAUGUGUCCAGCGAAGGAUGAUAUCGGAUAUCACGUACGAGACAAGGAGUGAUCCCGCCCAGAAAAGACAUGACCAAACGAGGGAUUAGGGCGUCCAAAUGACUUUAAAUAAAGUCGAUGUGCGUCCGUCGAUUUAAUUAAAAUCAAAACAAAAUCUUUGCCCAUCUUCCCUUGUCCUGCACGGGGAUAAUAAUAAACGCAUAAAUAAUGCAAAACAAUAAAUGAGCAAAUAUUCAUAAAUUAUUAACGGCGGCGCCUGUGACUACUGAGCUCUCGGUCUGUAUGUCCUGCUGCAGAGUGGAGUCAAAAGAACGAAGGGGGACUUACAAAAGGCACACACACACACGCUGCACAAAUACCCAAAAUAUUUUGCCAAAGCAUUUAAAAGGACAAUGAAGCACGAACCGAGAUGACAGCAAUGGAAGAAAAGCAAAUCCCCGCAACAAAUAAUUGAGACUCAUAAAGAAAUAUCAUUCAUUGAUUUUCCUUUGCUUGUCCCACUCUCCAUCUCUUUCUCUCUUACGGUUUCCCUUUCUCGCUUUCUCUUCUUCGCAUUCUCCCUGUCUGCAGCAGCAAGUGGAUGAUGGCUGUCAGCACCCAAACCAAAGAAAAAAGAGACCAUAAGGACAGCUGAUGAAACUAUCACGCCGUCGAGGGGUUGUUUGCGGUGCGGUGGCCACUAAGAUUUUCACAUGAAUUCGAAAUCUAUGCCUGGGCAUGAUUUGCACAAAACUUGAGCUGGCAAAUUUGUCAGAUGGGCAACAGACAAGGGGAGUACGUAAGUUUACUACGUGUGAGAGAAGAGAUGCGAUGCAUGCCUCUGGACCGGAGUCAAGUUUGAAGGAAACCUGAAACAGAGCAAAUGAUAAAUUAUUAAGGGAUUUUGUUAAUUUGGUGACAUUGAUAGCAUCGCCAGAUUACCACAAGUGCUCAUUCUCCUCAUCAUCCACAACAUAGUGAAUUACAAAAUGAUGAGCUGUCAUUAUGGGUCAUAAUUCAGGUGUGUAUGUGUAUAUGUGUAC